GAAUUAGACACCGAUGGUGAUGGUUCAAUCGAUAUUAACGAGUUUAAGGCGUUCUACUGUGGCAGUGGCGACAAUGAGUUGAAGGAGGCGUUUGAUUUGUACGACAAGGACAAGAAUGGGAAGAUUUCGGCGAGUGAGUUGCACUCGGUACUCAAGGGUCUCGGUGAGAAGUGUAGCCUCAAGGACUGCCGGCGUAUGAUCAGCUCUGUCGAUGUUGACGGCGAUGGUUGCGUUAACUUCGAAGAAUUCAAGAAGAUGAUGAGUAGGCCUUCAUCGUAGUAUGUAACUCUUAGAAUUUCUGAAUUCUGACUUCCACUUUUCUGUUCUAUUGCAAUUUAAGUAACU
rnacentral:lncRNA from 1 species